ACAGUGUACACAGAGUUUUACGUAAAGCUAUUUUUCACCUUUUUUUUUCCCCCCACUGGGAUUGGCAGGAAAUGCUCACUAUGUUAUCUCAGGAUGGAAGAUUCUCACCAACCACAUGCUGGUAAAUGAAUGUGAGUUACGAGUGGAAACGCUCCACAAUCACCAGGUGUGUUAAGACUAAAUGAGAUGGGAAAUUUCAGAGGCUGAGCCACUGCAGUUAAAGCCAAUUAACGAAGAAGAUGAAGGCAAAUUACCGUCCAAAGGAGAGAAAAUGGAGGAAAAUUACAGACACAGCAGGAGUUCCUGGAUGGAGAACCUGUCACAGGUCAUGAUGGACGUCAGUGCUGCUAAUUUCUGAUUAACCAAAUUAUGAAGACCUGAAUGACACGGAGGAAACCUGCAAGGCCUUUUGGUCCCCUUUACACCUUCAACAGGAGCCAUUUGUAAACACUUUAAAUUUCCAACGUGCUCGGACAACACGAUGUUUGAACUAGUUCUUAUCAACUAUAAACCAACCUGACAUCCUCCUGACAGAUACAUUAUCAACACGACCAAAAGACGUCACUUGUCAGUUGAUUAAAAGUAUUUGAACAAACAACCAAAGCACUAAUUUUAACAGUGUACUGUACAUGUAGGGGGAUUUAUUAAGCCUGUCGCAAACUGGUGCAAACUGGAAGACUGGAAAUGUAAAGAGCAGCAUGUUGCGCAUGUCUAUAAAGAACUGGAGUACAAACAAAA